UACAGAGGGUGCAAGCGUUGUUCGGAAUUAUUGGGCGUAAAGCGCGUGUAGGCGGCUUUGCAAGUCGGGUGUGAAAGCCCUCGGCUCAACCGAGGAAGUGCGCCCGAAACUGCAGAGCUUGAGUACCGGAGAGGAUGGCGGAAUUCCCCAAGUAGAGGUGAAAUUCGUAGAUAUGGGGAGGAACACCGGUGGCGAAGGCGGCCAUCUGGACGGAUACUGACGCUGAGACGCGAAAGCGUGGGGAGCAAAC
rnacentral:rRNA from 1 species